UACGUAGGGUGCAAGCGUUGUCCGGAAUUAUUGGGCGUAAAGAGCUCGUAGGCGGUCUGUCGCGUCGGCUGUGAAAACCCGGGGCUCAACCCCGGGCCUGCAGUCGAUACGGGCAGACUAGAGUGCGGUAGGGGAGACUGGAAUUCCUGGUGUAGCGGUGGAAUGCGCAGAUAUCAGGAGGAACACCGAUGGCGAAGGCAGGUCACUGGGCCGCAACUGACGCUGAGGAGCGAAAGCGUGGGGAGCGAACAGG
rnacentral:rRNA from 1 species